rnacentral:rRNA from 1 species
GACGAACGCUGGCGGCGUGCUUAACACAUGCAAGUCGAACGAUGAACCCGGAGCUUGCUCCGGUGGAUUAGUGGCGAACGGGUGAGUAACACGUGAGUAACCUGCCCUUGACUCUGGGAUAACUGCGGGAAACUGUAGCUAAUACCGGAUACGACCCUCGGCGGCAUCGCCAGGGGGUGGAAAGAAUUUCGGUCAAGGAUGGACUCGCGGCCUAUCAGCUAGUUGGUGAGGUAACGGCUCACCAAGGCGACGACGGGUAGCCGGCCUGAGAGGGUGACCGGCCACACUGGGACUGAGACACGGCCCAGACUCCUACGGGAGGCAGCAGCGGGGAAUAUUGCACAAUGGGCGCGAGCCUGAUGCAGCAACGCCGCGUGAGGGAUGACGGCCUUCGGGUUGUAAACCUCUUUUAGUAGGGAGGAAGCGAAAGUGACGGUACCUGCAGAAAAAGCACCGGCUAACUACGUGCCAGCCGCCGCCGUAA